AUGGUAUGUUCUACAGGUGAACCCGGUGAACCCCACAAUCUUGAAGAAGCUUUGAAUGAUGAAAAGUGGAGAAAGGCCAUGAAUGAAGAAUUUGUGGCGCUACAAAAGAAUAAAACAUGGCAUUUGGUCCCUCCACAGAAAGGUAAAAAUCUCAUAGACUGCAAGUGGGUCUUUAGAAUCAAGAGGAAGUCAGAUGGAACUAUUGAUCGGUACAAAGCUAGAUUGGUUGCAAAAGGAUUCAAACAACGUUAUGGCAUAGACUACGAGGACACGUUUAGUCCUGUUGUUAAAGCUGCCACUAUUCGCCUUGUUUUGUCUAUUGUUGUUUCCAGGGGCUGGAGUCUCAGGCAACUGGAUGUUCAGAACGCGUUUCUCCAUGGUGUUCUGGAAGAAGAGGUGUACAUGAAGCAACCUCCUGGGUUUGUGAACAAAAAUGUUCCUUCUUACAUUUGCAAACUUGACAAAUCAUUGUAUGGGUUGAAGCAAGCCCCACGUGCAUGGUAUUCACGUCUCAGUAACAAGAUGCAACAGCUUGGUUUUGUUCCUUCUAAGUCUGACACCUCACUGUUUAUUUACAACAAGCACAACACAUACAUAUUUGUACUCAUAUAUGUUGAUGAUAUAAUUGUCACAAGUUCAUCAGAUGAGGCUGUCACAGGGCUCUUGAAAGAUCUCAGCUCAGAGUUUGCUCUCAAGGAUCUCGGAGACUUGCAUUAUUUCCUAGGGAUUGAGGUGAAGAAGCAUGAGGAUGGACUUCAUCUCUCUCAGGAAAAGUAUGCGGCAGAUCUGGUAAAGAAGGCAGGUCUACAAGGUUGUAAGCCCUCACCUACUCCUAUGUAA
rnacentral:rRNA from 1 species